UUUUAAACAAUUAAAAAUAUGCACAGAAACAAUUAAAUCAUGAAAAAUAUCAAAAUUAAUCCAAAAAAUAAUUUUAAUUCAAAAAAUGAAAGAGAAAAAUAUUUAAAGAUUUUUGGUGAAAGUCCCAUAUUUUUUGGAUUAAAAAUGAAAUUAAUAUGAACUUAAUCAAAAUAAAUGGAUUAAAUGAAAAAUCAGAAAAUAAAAAAAAAACAAAAAAAAAAACAAAGGUCAUCGGAUCUCCCUCAUUAAUUGAGGUGGCAGAUCCGAUGGCCAAGCGAACGCUUCCACCGAACGCCUCAGUCAACUGCGCCACAAACUUUGUAAUCACUUUGGAUGCGUGAGAUUAGAACAUGAGAAUCAGAUCAUAUGGCCUAGAUUGAUCCAGCGCACCACCGGAGCCCUAUCUUCGGUCAUCU
rnacentral:lncRNA from 1 species